UACGUAGGGUGCAAGCGUUAAUCGGAAUUACUGGGCGUAAAGCGUGCGCAGGCGGUUCGGAAAGAAAGGUGUGAAAUCCCAGGGCUUAACCUUGGAACUGCACUUUUAACUACCGGGCUAGAGUACGUCAGAGGGGGGUAGAAUUCCACGUGUAGCAGUGAAAUGCGUAGAGAUGUGGAGGAAUACCGAUGGCGAAGGCAGCCCCCUGGGAUUAUACUGACGCUCAUGCACGAAAGCGUGGGGAGCAAACAGG
rnacentral:rRNA from 1 species